GCAAGUCGAGCGGUAACAGAUCCAGCUUGCUGGAUGCUGACGAGCGGCGGACGGGUGAGUAAUGCAUAGGAAUCUGCCCGAUAGUGGGGGAUAACCUGGGGAAACCCAGGCUAAUACCGCAUACGUCCUACGGGAGAAAGGGGGCUCCGGCUCCCGCUAUGGGAUGAGCCUAUGUCGGAUUAGCUAGUUGGUGAGGUAACGGCUCACCAAGGCCACGAUCCGUAGCUGGUCUGAGAGGAUGAUCAGCCACAUCGGGACUGAGACACGGCCCGAACUCCUACGGGAGGCAGCAGUGGGGAAUAUUGGACAAUGGGGGAAACCCUGAUCCAGCCAUGCCGCGUGUGUGAAGAAGGCCCUCGGGUUGUAAAGCACUUUCAGCGAGGAAGAACGCCUAGCGGUUAAUACCCGCUAGGAAAGACAUCACUCGCAGAAGAAGCACCGGCUAACUCCGUGCCAGCAGCCGCGGUAAUACGGAGGGUGCAAGCGUUAAUCGGAAUUACUGGGCGUAAAGCGCGCGUAGGUGGCUUGAUAAGCCGGUUGUGAAAGCCCCGGGCUCAACCUGGGAACGGCAUCCGGAACUGUCAAGCUAGAGUGCAGGAGAGGAAGGUAGAAUUCCCGGUGUAGCGGUGAAAUGCGUAGAGAUCGGGAGGAAUACCAGUGGCGAAGGCGGCCUUCUGGACUGACACUGACACUGAGGUGCGAAAGCGUGGGUAGCAAACAGGAUUAGAUACCCUGGUAGUCCACGCCGUAAACGAUGUCGACCAGCCGUUGGGUGCCUAGCGCACUUUGUGGCGAAGUUAACGCGAUAAGUCGACCGCCUGGGGAGUACGGCCGCAAGGUUAAAACUCAAAUGAAUUGACGGGGGCCCGCACAAGCGGUGGAGCAUGUGGUUUAAUUCGAUGCAACGCGAAGAACCUUACCUACUC
rnacentral:rRNA from 1 species